UGGCCGUGGAAAUGGCCGUGGUGG
rnacentral:siRNA from 1 species